AUGUAUAAUAUAUUUGAAUUGAGAUUCUCUACUGUAUAUCGUACGAUGUAAAAUAUAACGUAUCAUCUAUCGUAUGAUGGAUGGCUACAUGUGGAUGUGCGCUCGUUACGUGCAAUCAUGUGCAGCUAUUCACCAUACGAUAGAUGAUAUGUAUUGUAUAUUAUAUUGUAUGAUGUACAGAUGAUCUGUGCCCGAUAUAUCUAUUUGUUUAUAUAUUUUAGACCCCAAUAGCAGGAGAAGGGGUACAUUUAUUUAGUGGACGG
rnacentral:lncRNA from 1 species